rnacentral:rRNA from 1 species
AGGAUGAACGCUGGCGGCGUGCCUAACACAUGCAAGUCGAGCGCCCCGCAAGGGGAGCGGCAGACGGGUGAGUAACGCGUGGGAACAUACCCUCCGGUUCGGAAUAGCUCAGGGAAACUUGGAUUAAUACCGGAUACGGCCUAGCGGCGAAAGAUUCAUCGCCGGAGGAUUGGCCCGCGUUCGAUUAGCUAGUUGGUGAGGUAACGGCUCACCAAGGCGACGAUCGAUAGCUGGUCUGAGAGGAUGAUCAGCCACAUUGGGACUGAGACACGGCCCAAACUCCUACGGGAGGCAGCAGUGGGGAAUAUUGGACAAUGGGCGCAAGCCUGAUCCAGCCAUGCCGCGUGAGUGAUGACGGCCUUAGGGUUGUAAAGCUCUUUCGCUAGGGACGAUAAUGACGGUACCUAGACAAGAAGCCCCGGCUAACUUCGUGCCAGCAGCCGC